UCUUAGCUUGCUAAGGCCGAUGGCGACCGGCGCACGGGUGAGUAACACGUAUCCCCCCUUCCGUCUACUCUUGGACAGCCUUCUGAAAGGAAGAUUAAUACAAGAUGGCAUCAUGAGUCCGCAUGUUCACAUGAUUAAAGGUAUUCCGGUAGACGAUGGGGAUGCGUUCCAUUAGAUAGUAGGCGGGGUAACGGCCCACCUAGUCUUCGAUGGAUAGGGGUUCUGAGAGGAAGGUCCCCCACAUUGGAACUGAGACACGGUCCAAACUCCUACGGGAGGCAGCAGUGAGGAAUAUUGGUCAAUGGGCGAGAGCCUGAACCAGCCAAGUAGCGUGAAGGAUGACUGCCCUAUGGGUUGUAAACUUCUUUUAUAAAGGAAUAAAGUCGGGUAUGGAUACCCGUUUGCAUGUACUUUAUGAAUAAGGAUCGGCUAACUCCGUGCCAGCAGCCGCGGUAAUACGGAGGAUCCGAGCGUUAUCCGGAUUUAUUGGGUUUAAAGGGAGCGUAGAUGGAUGUUUAAGUCAGUUGUGAAAGUUUGCGGCUCAACCGUAAAAUUGCAGUUGAUACUGGGUAUCUUGAGUGCAGUUGAGGCAGGCGGAAUUCGUGGUGUAGCGGUGAAAUGCUUAGAUAUCACGAAGAACUCCGAUUG
rnacentral:rRNA from 1 species